GAAAAGUGGAGAAUAAGGGUGAUUUAACAAUUAGUUCCAAAUAAAUAACAGAUUGGUAGAGGGUAGACAUCUUGUUGCCAUCCCACUUAAAGACAAGGACUCUUGAGAAUUGCCUUUAGAUUCUAUCAUGCCUUUGAUCACACAUAACACAGUGCUGGACACGUAGUGAAUGUCCUUCAACACCUCCUAUUCAGCAUACUUCCCAUAUGUAUGCAGGCACUGUGUGACUGACCACCUGGGGCAGGUAAACAGAGCUGCACCAUGCUGCCACAGAGCUGGACCCAAAGUGUUCUGAGAAGUGUCCACAUAACCCAGGCAAGCAUCAAGGAAGAGAAGCUGUGCAGAAAGAGCAACAUCUCUAGGAGUAGCUUUUACAAGUGAAGAGAGAUUGUGCAAGUGAAUAAAAGAAAGUCAGCGAUUCCAGGCAAGGGGAAUUGCAUGGUCAAAGGCACUAAGGUAUAAUGUGCCUGGCAAAUAGACUUCUGCAGGACUAGAGAGCUGGAUUUGUGGAGAGAUGGCAUAGUAGAAGCAGGCCCAGGCCACAUUAGCAAAAGUUUUUCUUGUACACCAUGUUAAAAGUCUGGGUUUUGUCUCCAAGACAAUUGUAGAACUCUUACAGUAAGGACUCUCUACAGAGAAAUGACAUAAUCUUAUUAACAUAAUAAUGUUUAAAAUAUCACUAUAGCAGCAGUAUGGAGAAUAGAAUGGUAAGGAAUUAAUACUGGACGCUGUUGCAAGAUUCUAGGCAAAAAAAUUUUUAGGAACUGAAUUAAGACUGUGGCUGUACAGGUAGGGAUAAAGAGAAGGAAGCAGAGUCAGGCGAUGAUAAACAGCGCUGGCAGAACUUGUGAAUCGCCUUGAUGGAGAGGAAAGAGGAAGAGAAUCGUCCAAGAUGACCCUAGGGUCUUGCAUUGAGUGACUGGGUAGAUGGUGGCUUAUUUUCCCCAAACAGGCAAUACAGGAGGAGAUACAGAUCUGGGGGGGUCUACCAAGGGAGAUAAUCCAUUUACUUUCCUAGUUGUAGAACUUAAGAGUACCUCUAAGGAGGAAGUCACAUUUACUAGCAUAUAAGAACCAUGAGAAUGGGGACCUUGUUGGUUUCAUUCACUAUGUCCUCAGUGCCUAGCACAGCACACAGCAGAUGAUAAAUCCUGGUAAAUUCUAGUCGAAUGUGUGUUCCUCGACACAGUUUUGGGUCCAGGUCUCAGCUAUUAUUCAAUGCUCUUUGGUUUUCUUCCAUAGAAAAUCCUAGAACCUCCUUUGAUGUUGACCGAGGUUGUCUUGCCUCCAGAAAUAAGAGAUUCUGCUCCAUGCUGGCGGGGGUGAGUUACAAAACCAUGACUAAGAUUCUUAAUGGUCCUAUCACUCUUCGUUAACACAUAUAAGCAGGGCUGGUUAAUUGUUAACCGACAAAAAAGCAAAAACUGCAAUAAUAAAGUUUGAAGUGGUCAGACAGAGAAGAAUUAGUCACUGGAGUGAGCCUCUAAUAUUGUAAUAAGACAUGUGGCUUUCAAGUUGCCAUUGAAAUGAUUAGGAGGCAGGGCGUGGUGGUGCAUGCCUGUAAUUCCAGCACCUUGGGAGGCUGAGGUGGGAGGGUUGCUUGAGCACAAGGGUUUGUGAUCAGCCUGGGCAACAUGGCAAGACUCUGUCUCUACAAAAAACUAAAAAAUUAGCUAUGCAUGGUGGCUCACGCCUGUAGUCCCAGCUACUUGGGAGGCUGAGGUAGGAGGUUCACUUGAGCCUGAGAGAUUGAGGCUGCACUUAGCGUGAUUGUGCCACUGCACUCCAUUGUGGGUUUCAGAGUGAGACCCUGGUCUCAAAAAAAAAAAAAAAAUAUUAGGGGAACCAAGUAUAAUUGUUAAGAAUGAACAUGAGCCAAUUUAAUUUGGUUUUAGAGUACCAAAAACUCUAAAAGGGAUUGUUGCAUUAGAACAAGAAACAGUGAGAAGUACGUAGAUCAAAUAAAAACCUGGAAAAAACUUUAAGAAAAAAAGAAAGAAAAUCUAAUAAAUGGCACUGCUACUUGGAGAAGUUGGAGCAAAUCUUCCUUGCCAGGGAAGCUUGAAUUACCUGCAUAUCUCUUUAAGCAUUUUCACGUACAAAUCAAACACAGAUGGCCCAUUACGUUUAUGACCUCACUGUCGAUUCCUCUAGAUGGAGCAUGCAUUAAUUAUUGAAAUAUUUUCAUAGUAUACAAGUUUUUAGUGGGCUACAUUGCCACAGAUAAUUUCAACUUUCUGAUUAGAAGCUGGUAUAAACAAUUUUAUUUAUGAGAAUUAAUCUCUUAAAUGUAGUAAACACUACGAAUACAGUAGUGAUUUUUUUUUUCCCAUUUAACAAAGCCAAACUAGGAAUCCUGGCCUCUAUCCUUGAAACUCAGCGUUAUGUUAGCAUUGCAUACAAUACAUAAACUCUGCCAAAAUCUAUUACAAUUGUAGUAAAUUUUGAUUACCGGAGUUGUUUGUUAUUUAUGUCUACAAGAUAAAGAUAAUGUUGGGAAUAGCCCUCUUCUAUUCAAUGUAUAAAUUACUUCCAUAAAAUAUCUUGUUUUGUAAACAGUAAAAAAAGAAAAAAAGACUAAACUUGGUUGAAGCUUCAAAUUGUUGCAUCUACUUUAGUUCAAGUCAAUAAACACUUUAGAUGAUGUGGAAGUCCAUGGAAGGGUUUAGACUUUUAAUGGUGCCCUGGUUUAUCUCUGGCAUGAUAAACAAAAUGCUGGGGCCAUUCACUGUUAAAGAACAAUAAAAACAUUCCAGUGAAGGAGUGCUCGGAGAGAAGGCAUGUGGAGAAACAUUUUGCAGGACCUUAAGGAAGACACGUAUUUUCUAUCAUUCUGGAAGAAAGCUAUUCAUUCAACAAACAUCAACUGAGCACCUAUUCUGUGCUGGGGACUUUUCUAAGCAUUUGUAGUGCUUUGGGAGGGAAAACUAAACUCUCUUUCUGCCAGGUAUAGAUUCUAGCAGAAUUGAUUACCUUCUUAAAUCCUCUUUGCAAAGAGAAGGAAGCUGAAGCUUAGCAAAGUGAACUAAGUAACCAGAGAUUACCCACACAGAAGGCAGUGAAGCUGAAUAAGAGCCCGGGCCAUGUGGCUCCAGAGCCCCUAUUCUUCACCUACCGUAUCUCAGUUGCCUUCACCAUUUUCAACCUUUUUCUGGCUCAAAGGUCUAUUAAUCUGGGUCAUUGUGAAUUUAUAUUUAAAAGUAGGCAGCUGGACUUCCUUCAGUCUAGGUCUUCAUUUAGGUCAGUUAACUUUUGAAAAAUAGUUAUCUGUAUUUCUUCUUUCUGAAAUUCACCAUAGGAAAGAAUGUUCAGGCAAAGAAUGGCACAAAUAAGACAGGCAUCGCAGAAAUGCUGAUUUCACAGUCCAGUGGGAUAUGGUGGCCCAAGAAGCAGCAAGCAAGGUCAACAUGCAAUUAUUGGUUUCUUUCUCUGGCCAAAGACAAACAGGUAUAGAAAAUUAUACUUCUAGCAACACACAGAUAGCAGCGCUGAUGGCACUGUGAUUUCACAAUGGGUUGCACAACACAAAAGAGAGAAAUUCCUGCAUACCUCGGGGACAACUAAGGCUGGAAUAAUACGAUCCUUAACCAGAAUCGUGCAAGAAGAUGGAAAUUUAGCAUAUGUAUUAGGCGAGAAUCUUCUACCAGUGAGUAAUGCUUACAUAUAAGACUCCUCUAGCAAACAUUUAUAAGACACACUGCACUGCUAAUGGAGAGAAUUCAUGUAGAAAUUAACGAUAUAUUAAUUAAUUCAAUGCUGUUCAAUUAAUUUUGGAUAUUCAUUUCAUUAAAUUAAAAAGUAAUGCAUUUUCCUACUGCUCACAAUAAAACUCUCUCAAGUUUGUUUAGCACUUUAUACAUUUAAAAACUCUGUUGCUACUGGUGGAAGAGGGAAGAUCAGAGACAUCUGACAACUUGUCUGAGAUCAUGUCAAAUUUGGCAGGGAAGAGCCUAGAACCCAGAGUUACUGAUUUACAAGGUCAGUCCUUGGAGAUUCUUUCACAUUAUUCUUAUCUGAUCCCCAAUAAAGCAGGUAUUAUCGUGUUCACUGAUCAUAGGAGAGCCUGAGGCUUAGGGAUGUAGAACAAGUCAAUGCUCAAUUCCUUUCCAAAAAAAAUGUAACUGUGCAUACAAAUUCUAUUAAGCGUGUGUUGGUAAGAGGGCAUGGUUAUUGCGAGCCAAGGUGUGCAAGGACAGAACAUAAAAUAUGCAAUAAUGUACACGGUAAAGAAGUUCUACCAUGGUAGAAGUAAUUAAUUUUAUCUAGAAUAAAAAAAAAGGUCCAACCAAUUAUAAAUACAACUGACUGUAAAAACUAUAAUGAUAUUGGUUGGGCGCGGUGGCUCAUACCUGUAAUCCCAGCACUUUGGGAGGCCAAGGCAAGCAGAUCACUUGAUGUCAGGAGUUCGAGACCAGCCUGGUCAUGGUGAAACCCUGACUCGACUUAAAAAAUGCAAAAAUUAGGCAGGUGUGGUGGUGGGUGCCUGUAGUUCCAGCUACUCAGGAGGCUGAGGCAGGAGAAUCGCUUGAAUGUGGGAGUCAGAGGUUAUAAUGAGUGAGCUGACAUCACACCACUGCACUCCAGCACGGGUGACAGAGCGAGACUCUGUAUUAAAAAAAAUAAUAAAAAAGAACUAUAAUGAUAUUGUGCAUUGUGACUGGUUAUGUAGUGUCUGAUGCUAUGGUUCCUUAUGAGAUCAUGCAAUACAAUUACCUUGGACACCUGGAAAAAAGCAGAGUCUUGUACCUAUGGAAUCAGACACUUUGGACAUAGAGGGCAUAAAUCUGGUUUUUAGCAAGCUGUAUUAGGGGCCCAUGGUCUAAAAUCUUGCUAUUCAAAGUACAGCCCAUGAGCCUGCAGCAUCAGUGUCACCUGGGAGUCUCUUAAGGAUGCAGAAACUAAAACCCAACCCCAGAUCUACUGACUCAGAAUCUGCAUUUGGUUAAAUAACAAGAUCCCCUGGUGAUUUCCUCUUGACUUUACAGUUUGAAGAGACUACAGUUUGCUGGCUUAUGGCAUCCCUUCCUACCACACAUUCACCUUAUCAGAAAAAAAAAAAAAUAAGUCAGCAUGACUUGAGCUGUUUUUAGUGAAUCCAUGAGGGAUCUAAGCGAACUGUUUCUAUUUCCAACUUCCUUCUCAGUCUAAUGUUCUAGAUUUCCAUCAUCGUCUGAUAAAGGUUUACCAAAUAUCCAAUUAAAAAUGUAUCCUAAAUUCUGUUGAAGCUCAACAACUAAUUCAUGGGCCAUCAAGUGUUUCAUUUCCAAAAUUCACCUUCAGAAUAUUUUUUUAAAGUAAAAACCUCAUUUGCAUGUCUCUAAAUUUCCACUAAUUCUUCCAUUUUUUACAAUUCCUCAAAGACUAGUAAGGUGCAUUGGCAAUCCCAUUGGCUAGUUUUCUUCGUCCUCUCAUAAGAUAAUCAAUCUAUAAAAAAUCAGGAUAUCUGGGUGUGUUUUUAGUAGCAGGAAUAGCUAUGAUGAGUUCUACCCUUAUACUGAGGCUUCAGGUUUCUCUUAUAAGUGUUUGUUUAAGGCUGGGCGCGGUGGUUCACGCCUGUAAUCCCAGCACUUUGGGAGGCCAAGGUGGGUGGAUCAACUGAGGUCAGACGUUCAAGACCAGUCUGACCAACAUGGAGAAACCCCGUCUUUAC
rnacentral:lncRNA from 10 species